rnacentral:tRNA from 1 species
UCCCUGGUUGUCCAGUGGUUAGGACUCCAUGUUCUCACUGCCAAGGGCCCAGGUUCAAUCCCUGGUUGGGGAA